GUACUCGAGCGGCGAACGGGUGAGUAACACGUGAGCAACCUGCCCUAGGCUUUGGGAUAACCCCGGGAAACCGGGGCUAAUACCGAAUAGGACCUGGCCUCGCAUGAGGCUGGGUGGAAAGUUUUUCGGCCUGGGAUGGGCUCGCGGCCUAUCAGCUUGUUGGUGGGGUGAUGGCCUACCAAGGCGACGACGGGUAGCCGGCCUGAGAGGGCGACCGGCCACACUGGGACUGAGACACGGCCCAGACUCCUACGGGAGGCAGCAGUGGGGAAUAUUGCACAAUGGGCGGAAGCCUGAUGCAGCGACGCCGCGUGAGGGAUGACGGCCUUCGGGUUGUAAACCUCUUUCAGCAGGGACGAAGCGUAAGUGACGGUACCUGCAGAAGAAGCGCCGGCCAACUACGUGCCAGCAGCCGCGGUAAGACGUAGGGCGCGAGCGUUGUCCGGAUUUAUUGGGCGUAAAGAGCUCGUAGGCGGCUUGUCGCGUCGACCGUGAAAACUUGGGGCUCAACCCCAAGCCUGCGGUCGAUACGGGCAGGCUAGAGUUCGGUAGGGGAGACUGGAAUUCCUGGUGUAGCGGUGAAAUGCGCAGAUAUCAGGAGGAACACCGGUGGCGAAGGCGGGUCUCUGGGCCGAUACUGACGCUGAGGAGCGAAAGCGUGGGGAGCGAACAGGAUUAGAUACCCUGGUAGUCCACGCUGUAAACGUUGGGCGCUAGGUGUG
rnacentral:rRNA from 1 species